ACGGCUGUUGGGGAUCCAAAUCAAGUACCAGUUCUUGAUUUCUCAGGCGAUAUUCCGAGUAUACAAGCACUGAUCUACCUCAUCACUCGGAAGUCAUUUCACUCCAAAUUACCUAAGAUUGAUGGACUGGGAUCUAUUGAUAUCAUUUUAGACCACCUGAAGGAGUAUCUAAUCCUCUAUUCAGACUCACUUUCUUCUAUAAAGAGCCAACUUUGGACAAUUCAGCAGCAAUUGGAGCACUUUCAGAAGCAUCACAAUGGAUCGUUCCAGUAUUUUUCAAUGCAGGCGAUUGCUAUAGCAUAUGAGGUGUAUCAUUUGGUUGUCA
rnacentral:misc_RNA from 1 species